UACGAAGGGGGCGAGCGUUGUUCGGAUUUACUGGGCGUAAAGGGCGCGCAGGCGGCCGCUCAAGUCAGGCGUGAAAGCCCCGGGCUUAACCUGGGAACUGCGUCUGGGACUGAGUGGCUAGAGUUCGGGAGAGGAGAGUGGAAUUCCCAGUGUAGAGGUGAAAUUCGUAGAUAUUGGGAAGAACACCGGUGGCGAAGGCGGCCCUCUGGACCGACACUGACGCUGAGGCGCGAAAGCGUGGGGAGCAAACAGG
rnacentral:rRNA from 1 species